rnacentral:rRNA from 1 species
UACGUAGGGGGCAAGCGCUAUCCGGAUUUACUGGGUGUAAAGGGAGCGUAGACGGCUGUGCAAGUCUGAAGUGAAAGGCAUGGGCUCAACCUGUGGACUGCUUUGGAAACUGUGCAGCUAGAGUGUCGGAGAGGUAAGUGGAAUUCCUAGUGUAGCGGUGAAAUGCGUAGAUAUUAGGAGGAACACCAGUGGCGAAGGCGGCUUACUGGACGAUGACUGACGUUGAGGCUCGAAAGCGUGGGGAGCAAACAGG